ensembl:lncRNA
GUGAAAUGCUUGGACAACUGCUCGUGACCUAAAGAAAACAAAAAAGGAAAAGGCUAUGAAUAAGAUAGGAAAUAAAUAUGAAAAAUUAAAAAGGGUAAAUUUAACUAGGAAGGAAUAAGAUAUAAAUUAAGGUUAAAAAUGAAAUAACUGUACAACACAAAUUAGAAUGAAGGGUAAAUUUAACUGGGAAGAAUAAGAUAAAAUAUAUAAAUUAAAGUUAAAAAUGAAAUAACUGUACAACACAAAUUAGAAUGAAAGGUAAAUUUAACUGGGAAGAAUAAGAUAAAUAUAUAAAUUAAAGUUGAAAAUAAAAUAACUGUACAACAAAAUACACAAUACACAAUAUAGAACUAUAUAAGAAUGUAUGAAGAAAUCUAAAUAUAAAUAAAUAUAUACACAAUAACAGCAGCUGUACAAGUAUUAACCGGAAAUGAAGAAUAUAGUGACCAGUGUUGUGCAAAACCAAAGUCCAGAAAGUCCAGUGUGUGUAAGAACCAUAUGUGUGGGUCAGUACUGUGUGGUGGUGUGAUUGAGAGACCGUAUCGCCUGCGGGAAGAAGCUCCUCCUCAGUCUCUCU